AGGAGUUUGAUCCUGGCUCAGAGCGAACGCUGGCGGCGUGCUUAACACAUGCAAGUCGAACGCGCAGCAGUUUGUAGCAAUACAGAUUGUGGGCGCGUGGCGAACGGGUGCGUAACACGUGGAUAACCUUCCUUCAGGUGGGGAAUAACCCAGUGAAAAUUGGGCUAAUACCGCAUAACAUGACGAUGGCACAUGCUGUUGUCUUCAAAGGCGCAAGUCGCCAGAAGAGGGAUCCGCGGCCGAUUAGCUAGUUGGCGAGGUAAUGGCUCACCAAGGCAAUGAUCGGUAGCCGGACUGAGAGGUUGGCCGGCCACACUGGAACUGAGACACGGUCCAGACUCCUACGGGAGGCAGCAGUGGGGAAUCUUGCACAAUGGACGAAAGUCUGAUGCAGCAACGCCGCGUGGGGGAUGAAGCUUUUCGGAGUGUAAACCCCUUUCGACCCGGAAGAAAGCCCGCAAGGGUUUGACGGUACGGGUAUAAGAAGCCCCGGCUAACUACGUGCCAGCAGCCGCGGUAAAACGUAGGGGGCCAGCGUUGCUCGGAAUUACUGGGCGUAAAGGGUCCGUAGGCGGUGUGGCAAGUCGGGUAGUGAAAUCUCUGGGCUUAACCCAGAGGCUGCUGCCGAAACUGCCGUGCUAGAGUGU
rnacentral:rRNA from 1 species